AGUGGGGGAUCUUGCGCUAAUGCGCGAAAGCGUGACGCAGCGACGCCGCGUGGGGGAUGAAGGCCCUCGGGUUGUAAACCCCUUUCGGCAGGGACGAAGGGAAACUGACGGUACCUGCAGAAGAAGUCCCGGCUAACUACGUGCCAGCAGCCGCGGUAACACGUAGGGGACGAGCGUUGUCCGGAUUCAUUGGGCGUAAAGCGCGCGUAGGCGGCUCGGAAAGUCGGGCGUGAAAUGCCGGGGCUCAACCCCGGGACUGCGUCCGAUACUUCCGAGCUGGAGGUAGGUAGGGGAGAUCGGAAUUCCUGGUGUAGCGGUGAAAUGCGCAGAUAUCAGGAGGAACACCGGUGGCGAAGGCGGAUCUCUGGGCCUUACCUGACGCUGAGGCGCGAAAGCUAGGGGAGCGAA
rnacentral:rRNA from 1 species